AGUGAACGCUGGCGGCAGGCCUAACAAAUGCAAGUCGAACGGCAGCACACUAAGAGCUUGCCCUUACGGGCGGCGAGCGGCGGACGGGUGAGGAAUACAUCGCAACCUACCUUUUCGUGGUGGAUAACGAAGGGCAACUUACGCUCCCACCGCAUCCGUCCUACGGGUGAAAGCAGCGGUACUUCGGACCUUGCGCGCCUGUAUGCGCCGAUGUCGGAUUCGCUAGUCGGCGAGCUAACGUCCCACCAAGGCGACGAUCCGUAGCUGGUCUGACGGGAUGAUCAGCCACACUGGAACUGAGACACGGUCCACACUCCUACGGGAGGCAGCAGUGCGGAAUCUUGGACAAUGGGCGCAAGCCUUAUCCAGCCAGACCACGUGAGUGAGGAAGGCCUUCGGCUCGUAAAGCCCUUUUGUUGGGAAAGAAAAGCAGCAGGUUGAUACCCAGCUGUUCUGACGGUACCCGAAGAAUAAGCUCCGGCUAGCUUCGUG
rnacentral:rRNA from 1 species